rnacentral:sRNA from 1 species
GCUAGGCAUGGUGGCACUUGCCUGUAAUCCUAGCUACUUGGGAGGCUGAAGCACGAGAAUCACUUGAAACCGGGAGGCAGAAGUUGCAGUGAACAAAGAUUAUGCCACUGCACUCCAGCCUGGGGGACAGAGUGAGACUCUGUCUCAAAAAAUAAUAAUAAUAAAAAUAAAGACAAACAGGGUCUCACUCUAUCCCCCAGGCUGAGUGCAGUGGCACAAUCAUAGCUCACUGCAGCCUUGAACUCCUGGGCUCAAGUGAUCCUCCUGCCUCA